rnacentral:rRNA from 1 species
GAUGAACGCUGGUGGCGUGCCUAAUACAUGCAAGUCGAGCGAACAGAUGAGGAGCUUGCUCCUCUGACGUUAGCGGCGGACGGGUGAGUAACACGUGGAUAACCUACCUAUAAGACUGGGAUAACUUCGGGAAACCGGAGCUAAUACCGGAUAAUAUAUUGAACCGCAUGGUUCAAUAGUGAAAGACGGUUUUGCUGUCACUUAUAGAUGGAUCCGCGCCGCAUUAGCUAGUUGGUAAGGUAACGGCUUACCAAGGCAACGAUGCGUAGCCGACCUGAGAGGGUGAUCGGCCACACUGGAACUGAGGCACGGUCCAGACUCCUACGGGAGGCAGCAGUAGGGAAUCUUCCGCAAUGGGCGAAAGCCUGACGGAGCAACGCCGCGUGAGUGAUGAAGGUCUUCGGAUCGUAAAACUCUGUUAUUAGGGAAGAACAAAUGUGUAAGUAACUAUGCACGUCUUGACGGUACCUAAUCAGAAAGCCACGGCUAACUACGUG